AGAGUUUGAUCCUGGCUCAGAUUGAACGCUGGCGGCAGGCCUAACACAUGCAAGUCGAGCGGAAACGAUGGAAGCUUGCUUCCAGGCGUCGAGCGGCGGACGGGUGAGUAAUGCGAAUCUACCCAGUAGAGGGGGACAACUUGGGGAAACUCAAGCUAAUACCGCAUACGCCCUACGGGGGAAAUCGGGGGACCUUCGGGCCUCGUGCUAUUGGAUGAGCCUGCGUUAGAUUAGCUAGUUGGUAGGGUAAAGGCCUACCAAGGCUACGAUCUAUAGCUGGUCUGAGAGGAUGAUCAGCCACACUGGAACUGAGACACGGUCCAGACUCCUACGGGAGGCAGCAGUGGGGAAUAUUGCACAAUGGGCGCAAGCCUGAUGCAGCCAUGCCGCGUGUGUGAAGAAGGCUCUAGGGUUGUAAAGCACUUUAAGCAGGGAGGAAGGCCAGUUAGUUAAUAUCUGACUGGAUUGACGUUACCUGCAGAAUAAGCACCGGCUAACUCCGUAUUACCGCGGCUGCUGGCACGGAGGGUGCAAGCGUUAAUCGGAAUUACUGGGCGUAAAGCGCGCGUAGGUGGUUGUGUAAGUGGAAUGUGAAAGCCCUGGCCUCAACCUGGGAACUGCAUUUGGAACUGGCAGGCUAGAGUACGGUAGAGGGUGGUAGAAUUUCCUGUGUAGCGGUGAAAUGCGUAGAUAUAGGAAGGAAUACCAGUGGCGAAGGCGGCCACCUGGACUGAUACUGACGCUGAGGGGCGAAAGCGUGGGGAGCGAACAGGAUUAGAUACCCUGGUAGUCCACGCCAUAAACGAUGUCAACUAGCCGUAGGGAUCCUUGAGGUCUUUGUGGCGCAGCUAACGCAAUAAGUUGAUCGCCUAGGGAGUACGGCCGCAAGGUUAAAACUCAAAUGAAUUGACGGGGGCCCGCACAAGCGGUGGAGCAUGUGGUUUAAUUCGAUGCAACGCGAAGAACCUUACCCGGUCUUGACAUCCUGCGAACUUUCUAGAGAUAGAUUGGUGCCUUCGGGAGCUCUGAGACAGGUGCUGCAUGGCUGUCGUCAUCUCGCGUUGUGAAAUGUUGGGUUAAGUCCCGUAGCGAGCUCAACCCUUAUCCUUAUUUACCAGCGGGUUAUGCCGCGAACUCUAAGGAGACUGCCGGUGACAAACCGGAGGAAGGUGGGGACGACGUCUAGUCAUCAUGGCCCUUACGAGUUGGGCUACACACGUGCUACAAUGGCCGGUACGGAGGGAUGCAAACCUGCGAAGGGGAGCUAAUCUCACAAAACCGGUCGUAGUCCGGAUCGGAGUCUGCAACUCGACUCCGUGAAGUUGGAAUCGCUAGUAAUCGUGGAUCAGAAUGCCACGGUGAAUACGUUCCCGGGCCUUGUACACACCGCCCGUCACACCAUGGGAGUGGAUUGCACCGGAAGUGGCUAGUCUAACCUUCGGGAGGACGGUCACCACUUUGUGAUUCAUGACUGGGGUGAAGUCGGAACAAGGUAACC
rnacentral:rRNA from 1 species